GCUUCUUUUCGUUCUGGUUUUGUAAGGACCGUUUUUUGAGUACUAGUCGCCGAAUGGAACACAAAGGUCCUCUCAUCUGCAGGUCCACCUUUUUCCAGAGCUGAAGUGCUUUAGUCGUAAGGGUUUAACCCUUUCCCUUCUGACUCCCUUUUUGCAGUGCAUGUUGAGUCGGCUGCAGACCUUGACUGUAAAUCGGCAUCUGGAGACCCAACGGGUAGGAGUGCUGGCUGGUAAGCUGGACAUCUGUGUUAUCUGAGUUUCUUAGCAAUAAAGCAAAAGUGCAACCUUA